rnacentral:rRNA from 1 species
GACAGAGGGUGCAAACGUUGUUCGGAAUUACUGGGCGUAAAGCGCGUGUAGGCGGCUAAGUAAGUCGGGCGUGAAAUCCCACGGCUCAACCGUGGAAGUGCACUCGAAAACUGCAUAGCUAGAGUCCUGGAGAGGAAGGUGGAAUGCUUGGUGUAGAGGUGAAAUUCGUAGAUAUCAAGCGGAACACCGGUGGCGAAGGCGGCCUUGAGCUCGGG